GAUGAAGAACGCAGCGAAAUGCGAUAAGUAAUGUGAAUUGCAGAAUUCAGUGAAUCAUCGAAUCUUUGAACGCACAUUGCGCCCGCCAGUAUUCUGGCGGGCAUGCCUGUUCGAGCGUCAUUUCAACCAUCAAGCCCCAGGCUUGUGUUGGGGACCUGCGGCUGCCGCAGGCCCUGAAAACCAGUGGCGGGCUCGCUGUCACACCGGGCGUAGUAGAUUUUAUCUCGCUCAGGGCGUGCUGCGGGUUCCGGCCGUUAAAAAGCCUUUUUUACCCAAGGUUGACCUCGGAUCAGGUAGGAAGACCCGCUGAACUUAAGCAUAUCAAUAAGCGGACGA
rnacentral:misc_RNA from 1 species